UUUUAAUUUCUUCCCCACCGAAAGUUUAAUUUCUCUUCCUUUGUUUAUUCUUGCUUCCUGGCACGAUUGCAGGCAAGAAAUUCCCCUCGACGACCCGUCCAGCCCAAGGAAACCGAGUUUCGAACCAAUUCGGAUUCCAACCUGUGCUUCUCGAAUUUGAUCGAUGGCACCCAAAAGGAAUCCUCCAUUGUUGCUCCAAACGCUGGUCUUCAAUUCGAGGUCUCUUCGUCGAAUCCGAAGGGAGUAACGAAACCCUAAAUCUCUGUGUCGACUGGUUCGGGGCCAAGAAAGCCAAGAUGGUUUUCUACUUCAAGGCCCGGCCGGAGGCGGGCGAUUAUAGCAUCUUCAUGGGGCUGGACAAGUACGAGAACGAAGAUCUCAUCGAGUACGGGUUUCCGGAGGACAUAUGCUGAGCGAGAAGCUGUUAAUACAGCUGAAAAGGCAGAAAGAAAGCUUCAGUUAUGGGAGAAAAAACGGAGGGAGGAGAUGGAGAGGCUCUAGAGGGUGAGACAGGCAGAGAUAAGAUGCUACAAGGGCCUGAUGGUCUCAGAAAAGAUGAUGUCUAACAAACAAAUUGCAUCCACCAAUGAAUACCUGCAAGAACUGGAAGAGGAUUUCAUGUAAAUGUGGGAAUUUCAGGCUGAUAGAAAGCUCAAACUUUGAAAGCUAUGCCUACACCUGAUCAGUGCAUCAAGGUGAAUGAUACGGAUUGCCCGGACCCAAGAAUUAUGUUCUAAGGACUGCAUCAAGGCACCAGCCUCGGACCUGUUUGAUAUCACAAAGUUGUCAACAAGGAAUGGGAUCAUUUGUCAGUUCUGGUUGAUACAGUUGUACCUUGACCUCCUAUCCCAUUCUUGAUCGGAGAAUACUCGAUGAUUACCCUUGCUAUAAGCCAAAUGAGCCAAGCGGAGCCAAGACCGAGAGUUAUCUUGCUUCUCUCCUUUUAUGAGUGUAAAUUAUUGUUGAACGCCAGAGGCUAGUCAUAUUUCAUGAACUUCGUUUGAUCCAAUUUGGAAGCAAGAAAAUUUACUCAAAUUGAAAGUUCUUGAUGUUAUACGGGUCAAAUACCUUCCCCCCAAAGAAAUGCCAUUCAGAGGUCUGGUUCUUUAACAGGGGAAUGGAAGGAGCUAUGGUGUUGUAUCUUGGCUUCGCUUCACUUCAGGUUGGGGCCAAAUUAAAUAGGGUAUGGGGUGUGGAUAUGGAUCCGAAUUCCGAAGGACCCCAACUGUAAGUCUGUAAUUGCUGACGAAAGGAAAGUGAUGAGAGAGGAAAUGCAACAAAAUAGCAUUCAGCACAGCGCAACCCAACCGCCACGCGUGGUAAUGGCAGGCCAGAUCACCCACCGCGCCAAACUCCACCGCCACGCCGCGUUAUCAAAGGCCAAAUCACCGCUUACUUGCCAGGCCGAGGCUGUCCUUUUGCGUCUGCGGCAUUGAAAGAUUCCAAGGGCUCUCUUCUAUCCGGAACCUUUCGUUCUUUUGUUUCUAUGCUUCGGGCCCCACUCUUUUUUGACUCCAUUCGGUCAUCUCCAUCCCGUUGCUAUUUUCAACCGACUCUUGAGGACGAGAUGGCAUGGUGAGCCCUUCCUCAAUUGACUGCUGAGAGAAGCCAUGAGGAGAAAUGGGUUAGCCCGACUUUUUACGAUCCGAUUUGUUUUCACUUUUGGACUGGGGUUGAAAGUUUAGACAUGUUUAGGAUGGCUGAUCGGGUUCAGGAGAACAAGCAUAUUGGCCUGAUCAUGAAUUUCAGAGUUUCAGGGAGAAACUGGUUGUGAGGCAGUCUCCUUGUGUGUUUGAUAUAUGUAAUUUCAUAUGUGUUUGGUAGUGAAUAAAAAUUAAAACAAUAGUUAUUCUACGAGUUUACACUCACUAACAAAAUUGUGCAUGCUGAUUUGUCAAAGAAAAUUCUAUUAACAAAAAGAAUGCAAUUCAACCUAAUUAGGCUUCACACCACUUCAUGUGUGGUAUAGGUUCUAUUCUGAAAUUGUUCAGCAUUAGGUCUACAUCAGCUAGUUCCAUGUGUCUCAAAUUUAGAUCAUAGACACCAUACUAGAUCAAACCAUGCGUCUAAUGCUGAACCCUGCGUGUGCCGUGCACCUGUUUUGUUGUUUUUUUGAAUUAUAUAGAAUGGGGGAUGCAUGAACCUGAGGGCAAUCUUUUCUAAGGCAUCCUACGGUUGAGGAAAAGAUCAUCUUGAGUGAUGGAACGGCUCCCUUCCAAUGUAAAGGACGAGGAAGAUUCGAGGCUCUGACACGCCCCCACUCUCUUGUACAUGGGAAAUGAUACAUGGGCCACUUGCAUGUCGAUGUGCAAAGUGCCAAUUUCUUUCAUCUGCCCUUUACUCAUUCCAAGAUAAGCAUCACAUAAGGAAGGAUUAGAUUCGUAAGAAUGCCCACUUGCAUGCUUUAUCCUAUCAAGACAUCAUAACGCAAUCACAUUACACUAUUGAUCUUAUGACCACUCAGCAACCCAAUUUUGUGAUGGCCAUCUCUCUUACCUUUGCUCUCCGGAGCUAUUUGGGGCACUCACCUCUAUAUCCAGGGUCCAGAUAGUUCUAGUAAAAGUAGUGAUAUUACUUGUAUGGUACUCAAAGUCGAAUCCAUUCUGAUAGACAUAAAGCAAGCAUGAUGUCAGUGAUAUAACCAUACAUGUAUUGAUAUAUCCGUAACGUACACAUAUUAGUGACUCGGCAUGCUGAUGAUGAAAGGGCACAAGAACUAAUGAUUUUUAAAAACUACACUUUAUAGCUCAUUAAAUACUAUCUAAUUUUAUUAUCUCAUAUUUAUAUUUCUCAAAUAAAAUAAAUAUGGAUGAUAGAUAUGCCAUCAAUUCCAACACUAACCCAUGGCAUUCCUGUGAGAAGUGGCCGGCAGAAAGCUUUUAGUCGGCAGGCUUGCUUCCAUUGAUUCCUCUACAUUUGGAAGGGUUUUAUAGUGAUAAAGAGGAGAGGGGUCUUGGGAUUUCCCCCCCUACUUGUGAUCCCUCGAGAGAGGAAUCGAUUCCCCUGCAUCAAAGCAUCGGUUUGAGCGAAGGGGCCCUCGGUUCCAGACAUAUAGCAAGCCUCCUUCGGUCGGAUUUGCUUGGUUUUUGGGAGGGAGGGAGGGAGAGAGAGAGAGAGAGAGAUGCUGGAAGGGAAGGCAUUGAUCCAGGACACGGACAUGCCCGCAAAGAUGCAGCAGCAGGCCAUGUCCUGUGCCUCCCAAGCCCUGGACCUCUUUGAUGUCCUCGACUGCAAGAGCAUCGCCGCCCACAUCAAAAAGCUUCCUCUGUUCUUCUUCACAACUCCCAUCGUGGAUUAUUAAGUUGGUGGUGGUGGUGCUGGUGGCAGGAGUUUGACAGUAGGUAUGGGCCUGGAUGGCAGUGCGUGGUGGGGUCCAACUUCGGGUGCUUCUUCACCCACAGAGAAGGAACCUUCAUCUACUUCUGCCUUGAGACCCUCUACUUCCUCAUCUUCAAAGCUGCUGCUGCUGCUUAGCCAGCCUCCACACUCUCUGCUUCCUCAUCUUACCAAGCUGCUGCUGCUGCUGCUGCUGCUGCUGCUUAGCUGAGAAGGGAGGAAAUAGAACGCUAUCAGAUCUUCUUAGGGCAUCUUUCCUCUUCUUGUACAGAAUAUAUUUUCUUCUCCUCCUCCAGUAGGGUGUCUUUCGAGCAGGAAAAAACCCCCUUUGUGCAUCCAACAAAAAGUUGAUGUAUCGCAAUGAUAUAAUAAAUUUUCCGUUUGCAUCGAGCAAAACAGUCAAAUUGUUAUGAAUUCAUAUAAAUAUACCUACCCUGUCCAUCA